rnacentral:rRNA from 1 species
AUACGGAGGAUCCGAGCGUUAUCCGGAUUUAUUGGGUUUAAAGGGAGCGUAGGUGGACAUGUAAGUCAGUUGUGAAAGUUUGCGGCUCAACCGUAAAAUUGCAGUUGAUACUGUGUGUCUUGAGUACAGUAGAGGUGGGCGGAUUUCGUGGUGUAGCGGUGAAAUGCUUAGAUAUCACGAAGAACUCCGAUUGCGAAGGCAGCUCACUGGACUGUUACUGACACUGAGGCUCGAAAGUGUGGGUAUCAAACAGGAUUAGAUACCCUGGUAGUCCACACAGUAAACGAUGAAUACUCGCUGUUUGCGAUAUACAGCAAGCGGCCAAGCGAAAGCAUUAAGUAUUCCACCUGGGGAGUACGCCGGCAACGGUGAAACUCAAAUGAAUUGACGGGG